UACAGAGGGGGCAAGCGUUAUUCGGAAUUAUUGGGCGUAAAGGGCGCGUAGGCGGCAUGGCAAGUGGAUGGUGAAAUCCCUCGGCUUAACCGAGGAACUGCCGUCCAAACUGCUUCGCUUGAGACCGGGAGAGGUGAGUGGAAUUCCCAGUGUAGCGGUGAAAUGCGUAGAGAUUGGGAGGAACACCAGUGGCGAAGGCGGCUCACUGGACCGGUACUGACGCUGAUGCGCGAAAGCGUGGGGAGCAAACGGG
rnacentral:rRNA from 1 species